AUAUGUGCAUGGGUGCUUCUGAGUCUUCUCAUUUAUUAUCAUGUGCUGAUCUUCAAUGGAUAUUUAAUUUUGCAGCAGACUGCCUUAAAACACAUGGUCCAGCAUGUGGGCAUGCUCAUUGCAGCAGUGGUACAAUAUUCAGGGAGCAGGUGAGCCUACUUUACCAGUGGAGCCAAUGUGUUAAACAUUGUGUCAAAGCAGCCACAGAGCUGGGGUGCAGAGUGAAGGCCAACACUGAAUGCCUCUGGUUGGAGCACCUGGGGACGGGCAUCCCUGUCGACACGGUGGCAUUGGUGUCCAGGACAUAGGCAUGCCUGCUGUGGUGCUGUUCAAGGUCCUGGCACUAGUGAAGGGCUGUGCAGGUGGUGUCCAAAGCAUGGACAUCCAGAAAGUGACUAUGACUCCAUGUUUCAGGGUAUAAGCCUGCUCAAAGUGGAAGUAAUGUCAGUGUCUGCGGCACAAGUAUGCCUGUUGAGGCAGUAUGCCAGUUUCUGAAGGCUGGGCACUUGUGAAGUGACUGUGGAUCUGGUGUCUGCAGCACAGACACAUCGAGAGCAACUAUGCGUCUGGAAUUUUGCCUGUGCAGUUGGCAGGAAGAGGCAUGAAGGGAGGGAAGACGUCUGUGACACAGGAAGGCACAGCAGCAGCUCCUCCUCCUGGAUUGCACAGCAUGCCUCCUCCUCCAUGGUCUGUGGCAGCUGUCAUGGCUGGUGAGGUCCUCAGCAGUGAAGGCUGUUGGUGUCAUCUAUAGAACAGGCCCCUGUGGACCAUGGUGGCGCCUGGGAUAUGGCAAGGAGCCUUCUUCUUUGAUCUAGGCCUUCUCUGGUCAUCUCGGCCAUGAGGGUCUCUCCAGCAGAGUGAGUGUUGAGAAACCAAAGAGGGUCCUGUAGGCAGUGUCCUGAAAGUAUGGGGAAGCUGGUCGCUCACCCUGCUCUCCUCCUCCCUAUGAGGGGGCACUCAUGGGUUUGGGGAUUCCUCUUGUCAAUGGGCUGGCUGUGCUGGCCUGGGGGUGAGAUGGUGUGGCCAAGUGAAACUGUUCUUCCUACCCUUUCUGUGUGGUGAUUCUCCAUUUUUUGCUACACUAUCUUGCUAUACAGCUUUUUAACUGGUCUCCUGCAUUUUCACAAAGCUAUUUUCAUUUGUGGAUAGCUGUGUGAUUGCUGCUUUCUGUGAGAAAAUGAAGGAUGGGAUCUCUUUAACAUUUUGCUGAGGUCACUUUUCAGUGGAUAUAUUUAUGAUUCAGGUUAGCUUACAUGCAAAGACAUGUAAUUGGCUGAAAAGAGACCUUUGGAAAGAAUGUUGCAUAAAAAAAUGCAAACCCAUUUUCCUCAAUGGAAAAAUAAACAUUAUUUUGUAUAAAUAACGUCUGCUGUU
rnacentral:lncRNA from 12 species